rnacentral:rRNA from 1 species
CCUACGGGAGGCAGCAGUGGGGAAUAUUGGGCAAUGGAGGAAACUCUGACCCAGCAACGCCGCGUGAAUGAUGAAGGUCUUCGGAUUGUAAAGUUCUUUUCUAAGGGAAGAAGAAAGUGACGGUACCUUAGGAAUAAGCCUCGGCUAACUACGUGCCAGCAGCCGCGGUAAUACGUAGGGGGCAAGCGUUAUCCGGAUUUACUGGGUGUAAAGGGAGCGUAGACGGCAGCACAAGUCUGGAGUGAAAUCCCGGGGCUUAACCCCGGAACUGCUUUGGAAACUGUAGUUCUUGAGUGAUGGAGAGGCAGGCGGAAUUCCGUGUGUAGCGGUGAAAUGCGUAGAUAUACGGAGGAACACCAGUGGCGAAGGCGGCCUGCUGGACAUUAACUGACGCUGAGGCGCGAAAGCGUGGGGAGCAAACAGGAUUAGAUACCCUAGUAGUC